GUGGAAUUCUCAAAGUCUUUAUAUGUCGGAGCUACGGAAUGGAUCGCGUAUGAGGUUUGAUAUUCAGAGCUCGGAAUUCGAAGUGGAGCAAGAUCAAGGUGUCAUAGUGGCUUAAGGAUUAAGCUUGUAUUUUAGAUAGUUGGUUUGAGAAAAGUUAUUUAUAUUUCAUUGUGUAUAUUAUUUGGGAAUUUACUCGAGAUAUUGGUGUAUUUAAGGAUAUUUUUCCGCUGCGAAGUAAUUUAUUUAAGAGUUAAUUAUUGUU